CGGUUGGCAAUGGCAAUACUGCUUAAUCAUUGAAAAUUACCGUUUUUCUCUUUUGUUUGUGGUUUUGUUUCAAAAUACUAAGAUAAAAUCACAAAACAUUCCAAAUAUACAAAAGAAAAACCUGAAAUUAAUUUGUUUUUUAACUCUUCGUGGUUUAUUUCUGACAUUAUAAAUUAUAAUUAAUAAUUAAAUUAAGAAUAUUUUUAGAAGAUGCCCAGUGUAAUAAAUACAAUUAUAGACGGUUCUCGUCAAAUAGACGCUACCAAGAUGCAAUUAGAAAGCCUUGAAUUGGCGGGUUGCACCCUGGACCGGUACAUAAACGCCGAUAAUUCGCGCCCUUCAUUCUUAGAGAUUACAGGCAUAGCUGCACAAAGAAGCCCAACAUGCAGUGGUUUAAAUGCAGGAGAUUACAGAAACUUAGCUGCUCUACUCAAUCAUCCCAACUUAUCACAACUAAAAAUAUUAAACAAAGUGCCAUUGCCACCAGAAAUUAUGGAACAUUUUGCCCAUAUGCAGUGCCAUUGUUUAAUGGGAGUUUUCCCAGAAAUAAGCAGAGUAUGGCUGGCAAUAGACAGUAACAUUUAUGUGUGGGCCUUCGAACAUGGCAGUGAUGUGGCUUAUUUUGAUGGACUGGGGGAAACCAUAGUUAGUGUCGGCCUAGUAAAACCAAAGCCUGGUGUCUUCCAAAGUUUUGUCAAAUAUUUACUAGUCUUAACUACUACUGUGGAAAUAGUUGUAUUAGGUGUAACAUUUUCUGCAAGUAAAAAUGAUACAAAUAGUGAAUUUCAGGAGAUUCACUUAGUACCGGAGCCAGUGUUUGUUUUGCCAACUGAUGGUGUUUCUAUGAUGUCAGUUAAAUCAACAGCCAAGGGCAGAAUUUUUAUGGGUGGCAAAGAUGGAUGUCUCUAUGAAAUCACUUAUCAGGCUCAAUUAGGUUGGUUUGGAAAACAUUGUAAAAAAGUUAACCAUUCAACUAGUGCAUUAUCUUUCCUAGUGCCUUCAUUCUUAAAUGCUGCAUUAUAUGAUGAGGAUCCAAUUGUAAAGAUUGAAGUAGAUAACUCAAGACACAUUUUGUAUACAUUAAGUGAGAAAGGCUGUAUAGAAGUAUUUGAUCUGGGAAAUGACGGUGAAAGCUUAAGCAGAGUUGUAAGGCUGACACAAGGCAAAAUUGUGUCCUCAGCAAUGGAUAUUGUCAAGACACUAGAGGCUAGUAACUUUAAACCAGUGGUAGCAAUAUCAGCAGUGGAUGAAUCAGAGUCAGAACAUUUGAACCUAGUGGCUGUUACACAAACAGGAGCAAGACUGUAUUUUAGUACUGGGAGUGGGGAUGCGAGUCAAGGUGGGUCACAAAGACCUCAGUACCUCACACUCCUCCAUGUGAGGCUACCGCCUGGAUUCACACCAAACGCAUCAGUACUCAAACCUAAACAAGUGCAUAGUGCUGUAUAUGAAAAUGGAACACUAGUGAUGGUGUGUUCUGCUGGCGGUGGUGGAGAAGCAGAGACGCUGUGGUGUCUCUCACGGGUGCUGCCGGGGGGGACUGCCUUCAGCGAGGCUCACACUGUCCUGGCAUUAGACGGCCCUGCAUGGGCAUUAACGCAGCUGCCUCCGCAACACGCCACGCAUCUGUCUCCGGCAUUGUUGUCCAAGAGAGAAGCGUGGCAAGUAUCGCGGUGGGCCGUGGUGACGGGAGCGGGGGCGGCGCUCCUGGCGGCGGGGGCGGCGCCCGAGCUACUGCGACAGCUGCUGCGAGACUGCCGCGGGGCCGACGCCGCGCCUGUCAGCGACUUCUUUCAGUUGCACGACGUGGAGCAAGCGUGCGCGUGCGCAUUAUAUCUGGCGUGUGAGGACACGUCCAGCGCUGACCUCACCAUCAACGAGUGGGCCGCUAGGGCUUUCUUUUUGUACGGGAGCCAAAUGACCCCCACACUGGUAUUCCAUCAACAAAAUUCUCAGAUGCCAUCCAAUAUAGCUUCUCCAAAGUUCUCGCCUCGCCAAAUGUCCACACCGAUGACGAUACGAGGCCCUCAAGGCCAAAUACAGCAUGGAAAAUUGAACCAUUCCUACCAGCAGGGCCAAAUGAAUCAGUCGUUUCCGGCAUCACCAAACCAAUCUGGAGUACUACAGUCACCUUUUCAUCAAAAUUUGCUCAGUCCAACACCCUUUAAUCAGUCUUCAUUUGUUGGUAACAUGUCGCAACAACGAGAUCCAAAUUUCCCUGUUCAAGUGGAAUACAGUGCUAAACAUAACGGACUGUAUAUAUAUGUUGGAAGAAUUCUUGCUCCAAUCUGGAAUCUUAAAUGCGUCUCUAAAUCCUCGACACCGGACCGGAAAGAAUUUAUGAGCAGCACGGUGACGGGCGCGGACGUGUCGCACGUGAGCUCCCGCCUGCAGCGCGCGGCCGGCUUCAUGCAGCGCCCCCUCGCGGCGCCGCACUCCGACGAGCAAGCCUCUCUGCACGCGCUCAACACGUUCAUCGCAAUGGCGAUUGAAAUGCUUAGUCUAUGGAAGGUGCUAUGUGAGCAUCAAUUUCACGUCAUCGCCUCAAGUCUACCACCGGAACAACAGAGCGCGCUUCAAGCGGCUAGCUUUAGGGAAUUAUUAGUAGGCGGGCAAGAAGUUGCGUGCUUGUUACUAGGGUCUUUGGUAGCUGGUUACCUUCGGGACAAUGCGUCUGUGGACGGAAUUUCUCAAAAACUACGACAACUUUGUCCUACCUUGUAUAGACAAGAGGAUGCCAUAUGUUCAAAAGCAAAUGAGCUAUUGAUGUUUGCAAAACAACAGAAGAAUUCUGCGGAACGCGAGGAAAUGCUGCAACAAGCUUUGAAACUUUGCAAGGACGUGGCACCGAACGUGAACCUGCCAUUAGUAUGCUCGCGACUAGUGACAUCUGGUUUCUACUCUGGUGUGGUGGAAUUGUGUGUGGUCUGCGCUAGUAAACUGGACCCCCAGAACAAGGCGUUACACUACUACAAGAGCGAUCAACCCUCUCAAGAUAGAGAGGGCCAGCUUCUCUAUUUUAGGAGAAUGGAGAUCUACCGCGAGGUUGGCAACGCCCUUGAGCGGUUGUACGAGCGUAGCGUGGAGUCUUCGUCCGGGGAACCGUCUCCACACCGCGCGCCCAGGCCUGCUAACGACUCUUUGCUGACUCUAUCUCCAGCUGAUGCUAACUAUCAGGGAAGAAAAUUAGUAUGGGAAUGUCUUUCGUGCGACGAUGAACUACUUCACGUUGCAGUGUAUGAAUGGCUGGUAUCUAAAAAUCUGGGCUCAGAGUUGGUAUCGCUGGGCGGCGCUCCCCCGCCGUCGCUGCGCACGUACCUGCAAGCGGCGGCCCGCGCGGCGCCGCCUCGCGACUCGCUGCUGCUGCUGGACCUGCUGUGGAAGGUCCUGGAGAAGUGCGGCGACCACUGCGCCGCCGCGGCCGUGCUCGAGGGGCUCGCCACCAGACCGGGGUCGGGCGCAACUCUGUCGCAGCGCAUGUCGUGGCUGUCGGCGGGGGUGGUGUGCCUGCGGGGCGCGGGGGGCGCGGAGGGCGGCGGCGGGGAGCUGCUGCGGCGGCUGGAGGAGGCGGCGGAAGUGGCCAGGGUGCAGGCUGCAGUGCGUGCGGCCGCCAAUGCGCUACCGAGAGCGCUGCAACCCCCACACCAUCUCAUGCAGCGGCUGGACGACGAGCUGCUCGAUAUACCACAGCUUUACGAAGAAUACGCGGACCGCUACAACCUGUGGGAGUGCAAACUCGCCAUCGUGCAAUGUUCCGGGCACAACGACGCCCUACUGGUGGAGAAUAUCUGGAGCAACAUUUUGGCCGAAGCGGAGGCGAAUGCUCGCUCUGUGCCCACGGCCGACGAGCGGCUGGCCACCGUGCUCAGCAAGCUCACCACGCUCGGCCGCGAGUACGUCAAUACUGGACACUGCUUCCCACUUUAUUUUAUUGUGCGUCAGUUAGAAAUUAUGAGCUGCAAAUUACAAGCUGAUCAAAGUAUGGUUUUUAAAGCGAUCUUAAACAUUGGAGUAUCUUUAGAACAAGUUUUGGAUAUUUAUAUAAAACUGGUGAGCGUGAACGAGCGCGUGUGGCUCGGCUGCGGCGACGAGACGCACGUGUGCGGCGUGGCGGCGCUGUUGCUGAGCAGCGCCCGGCCCGCGCUGGCCGCGCUGCCGCCCGCGCACCGCCGCCGUGCGCUCGCGCGCUGCAAGGAGCUAUACGACGCCGCGCUCUCUGCUACACAGGUAACUGUAUGUCACGCGGGCUCGGCUGCGGCGACGAGACGCACGUGUGCGGCGUGGCGGCGCUGUUGCUGAGCAGCGCCCGGCCCGCGCUGGCCGCGCUGCCGCCCGCGCACCGCCGCCGUGCGCUCGCGCGCUGCAAGGAGCUAUACGACGCCGCGCUCUCUGCUACACAGGUAACUGUAUGUCACGCGGGCUCGGCUGCGGCGACGAGACGCACGUGUGCGGCGUGGCGGCGCUGUUGCUGAGCAGCGCCCGGCCCGCGCUGGCCGCGCUGCCGCCCGCGCACCGCCGCCGUGCGCUCGCGCGCUGCAAGGAGCUAUACGACGCCGCGCUCUCUGCUACACAGGCCCGUCCUAAUACACAACAUCUCAUCGACAAACUUACAGUGGCGCAGGCGCAUUUAGAUCGUAUGGAUUAAGUUAUUUUUAUACAGUAGGUAGUUCGUUGUUAUAGGCUAGUAGUACAAGUGUCCAAUACUGGUUUAAUUAUUUCUUUUGUAUGACAUUCUCAGAUAAUAUGACAUUCAAUCCAGUAUUUUAAAAUCAUAUUUUUUUUUAACAUUUUUAAUACAACAAAAUGAAAUGACUGGAUAAAAAAUUUAUUUUCUUAAAAUGUAAUUUCAGAUACAAAAUGCAAUAAGUAUUUUAUAACAUACACUUCUCUUAAAUUACUACCUACAUUUAUUUCUUUAAUAACAAUGGCAGUGACUUAUUCCUUAUAUAUCAAUAUUCUUGUUUAAUAUUGUUGUAAGUUCAGCUACAUGUCACUAGUUUUCUAAUUUUAAUAAACUUAUAAUCAUGUGCAUGUAUAGAAACCAGAAAUGUUUAAUUUGAAG